rnacentral:rRNA from 1 species
CCUGGCGGCCGUAGCGCGGUGGUCCCACCUGAUCCCAUGCCGAACUCAGAAGUGAAACGCCGUA